ACGCGCGGGUCGCUUAGACCCGGAAGCGGUUCCUGAGAAACGACGGGCGCACGGGGGCGUGUGCGUCUCGGAAUUUUGGUUCGUUACCGCGCUAUGCGCAGGCCCUGCUUCUCCACACCCAGCUUGCGGGGUCUCUCGAAUAAUCUUCCUUGAAGAAUCCUGCGAGAAGCUCAGAGAAGGAGGAAAGAAGAAGGAAUGGAGCUUUCAGAGGGACCAUUGACCUUGGAGGACGUGGCCAUCGAGUUCUCCCAGGAGGAGUGGGCCUGCCUGGACCCUGCGCAGAGGGCCUUGUACAGGGACGUGAUGCUGGAGACCUGCAGGAACCUGCUCUCCCUGGGGGAGCAUCGCUUUCCUCCGGGAGUUGGAAGCCAUCCUCCUGGACUUAGGAUCAACUUAGCACCAAGAGAGGACAUGAAGAAAAGAGAAUUAGGCCAUCUAGUGAUAUUGGAAAGAAAUGAGAGUCGAGGCAUCAAGGACUGUGACCUCAAGGAAGUCUGUGAAAAUAUGCUUGAGUGUGAGAGCGAGUGGGGAUGUGAUGCAGGACAUUAUAAAGAAGUGCUUUUGACCCAUAACAAAAAUCUCAGACCUAGAGAAGAUCAGGAUCAUAAAUCCUUCAUUCAUUUUUCUCAGAAUGUUUUUGUAAGAAGUCAUCCAUGUGACUGUGUCAAGCAUGACCAGCCAUUUGUAAAAAAUCCGUUAAAAAUGAAAAAUAACAUAAGCCUUGCUGGAAAUAAAAGUAUCAGGCGUCUGGAAAGGAGAACUGGAGGAAGGCUGCAGGCAGAGGUGGCCAAACUGCAGAGAUUUCCAGCUGAGGAGACAAUGUAUGAACACGGUCAAGUGGAGACGUCUGUCAACAACAGUUCCUCACCCCUGCAUAGAAUUCCUAGUGCAACAAACACUUUGUUACCUGCACAGUACAGGAAAAAUUACACUAGAGAUAAACCAUACAGCUGCCAUGACUGCGGGAAGGCUUUUAACAAAAAAUCAAACCUCACAAAUCACAAGAGAAUUCAUUCUGGACAGAGACCUUACAGAUGUGAUGAUUGUGGCAAAGCCUUUAACCAGUAUUCACACCUCACCACACACCAGCGAGUCCACACUGGAGAGAAAUCUUACAAAUGCGAUGUGUGUGGCAAGGUCUUCAGUCGAAAUUCACACCUUGCAAAUCACCAGAGGAUGCACACCGGUGAGAAACCUUACAAGUGUGAUGAAUGCGGCAGAGCUUUUAGCCAGUUUUCACACCUUAGCAGACAUCAGAAAAUGCAUGCUGGAGAGAAACCACACGAAUGCAAUGCGUGUGGCAAGCACUUUACCCAGCGUUCAAAUCUCAUAGCACACCAGAGAAUUCAUACAGGAGAGAAACCUUAUCAGUGUAAUGAAUGUGGGAAGGCUUUUAUUGAACGGUCGCAACUUUGGGGUCAUGAAAGAACUCAUACUGGAGAGAAACUUUACAAAUGCGAUGAGUGUGGCAAAGCCCUCACGAGGCAUUCAUAUCUUACCCAACACAAAACCAUCCAUACUGGAGAAAAACCUUACAAAUGUCAUGAGUGUGGCAAAGCUUAUACGCAACUUGCAAGCCUCACCAGGCAUCUGAAAGUACAUUCGGAAAACGGACAGAAGUCUCACAUGUGGCAACCCUUUUUUUCAAAGCUCGAUGUUUACAGAUCAUCAGAGAUUUUAUUAUAGAAAGCAGCUUCAAAAAUAGAUUCAGACGAGGUUUAUGCGUGUUUUCAAGCCUUGCUCAACAUUCGGGAUUCUAUCCAAGAGAAAGAAGGCAUACAGAUGGCCAUCGGACACAGGAAAAGAUACUCAGCAUCGCUGACCACGUGGGAAGUGCAGAUCAAAAGCUCCAUGAGAUACCACCGCACACACUCAUUACGAUGGGUAUUUAUCACAAAACCAACAAAUAAGUCUUGGCAAGGAUGUUGUUUUGCACUGUUGCUGGCGUUGUAAGUUGGUGCAACAUUUAUUGAAAACAUUGUAAAGUUCCUCAGACGUUUAAAAAAGUCAUCGUACGAGCCAGAUACUGCACUUCUGGGUACUUACUGGAAGAAAACCAAAACCACUAAUUUGAGAAGAUAGAAGCACUUGAGUAUUCAUUGUAGUGCUAUUUCUAGUAGCCAAGAUAUAGAAGCAACCUGAGUGGCCAUCAGUAGAUGAGUCGUUAGAGGAAAUGCAGUGUGUGUGUGUACACAGGCACUGGUGUAUUACUUAUUUCUAAAAAAUAAUUCUUGCCAUUUGCAACAACAUGGAUGUAGAGGAUAUUUUGCCAAGUGAAAUAAGUGGGAUGUUGAAAGACAUGCCUUUGUGACCUCCCGGGUGAAAUCUAAGAAACAGAAGACAAAACACAUUCCUCGCUACCAGCGGCAGAUGUGUGGCUGCUGCCAGACGGGAUGGCGGUGUGGUGGCACCGUAGCUGAGUCCUGCUGAAAUCCAGUGGAAGUGGAAGAUUUUUCCAUCCUCAUCACAGAAAACAAACUUGAUUCUGAAGCCCUUGGCUGUAGCCAACUGCUCCCAGUCUCCAAAGGAGUCCCUCCGACAAUGACAGGUUUGGGAUUGAACAUUUUCCCCUGUGACGUUUGAUGCCUUCAAGUGAACGGAAGACAAAAUGUUAAAUUAUGCUCUGGAGGGAGGUGAGUAUAAAAAUGCACAUUACCUACAGGCACAACUUCGCAUUUCCUUUCACAGUCGGGUUCCAUCACUUUCUCUAGGUGAUCUUUUUUUUUUUUGUCCUUUAUCUUUUUUUAGGGCCGCACCCGCAGCAUAUGGAAGUUCCCAGGCUAGGGGUCGAAUCAGAGCUGUAGCUACAGCCACGAAGAAUCUGAGCCGCGACUGCGACGUACGCCACAGCUCACGGCACCGCCUGAUCCUUAACCCACCAAGCAAGGACAGGGAUCAAACCCGCAUCCUCAUGGAUGCUAGUCCGGUUUGUUAACCACCGAGCCACGAAGGGAAUUCCCCACCGCCUACUCUAAAACUCAGGCUUUGUUUAAUACGUUGUAGAGUGGCCUUGGUGGCCCAGCGGUUAAAGAUGAAGCAGGAGUGUUCCAUAGACUUAGCAGAAAGGAAUCCGAUUAGCAUCCAAGAGGAUGAAGGUUUGAUCCUUGGCCUUGCUCAGUGGGUUACCCUGGCUGUGGCAUAGGCCAGCAGCUACAGCUCCGAUUCAACCCCUAGCCUGGGAACUCUAAAAAGUCAAAAAAAAAAAAAAAAGAUGCAGCCGGUGUCAUUGCUGAGAUACGGGUUCAGCUGUAGGCCCAGGAACUUCAGCUUGAUCUGGGGGGCGGGGAAAGCAGCUGUAGCUGCUGGAGGUUCUGAAGUUUUCGGAUUCAACCGCGUCCGCAACUUCGUGCCACGCCUUAGAGCAUCCGCGUGCCCAUCCGCGCUCUGACUUCACCUAAACCCUUCUCAACACUCGGCUUUCCGUAGGAGUGAGCUGCGGGGCUCCAAUGCUGCAGUUGGCCUGUCUCUCUCUAAACGACCUCAGACACUUUCAAAAGAUCCAAAUCAGAGAAGGAGAGCCUUCCAGAAGGAAGAGGAGUAGCCGGGAAUCUCACAGGGGCGGACCCGAACUGCUCCAGCGCCCCGCAGCCUGCUCCAGGCCACGGUGCCAACUCCACCCACUCGAAGGUCCGAGCCGGGCCUCUCGGUGGCCCCGCUCCUGCCUCGCCCCGCCCCGCCGCGCACGCGCACUUCCCUGCAGGCCGGAAGCGACUCGGGUGGGGAGACCGGUGCCGCGGUUGGUUCUUAGUUAGCUGCCUGCGCUCUGCGAGCUUCAGGUCCCGCGUCUCCACGCUCGGGUGCUGGGGGUCUCCCGAAAUUGCUAAGAGGCCAGAGGAGGAACUGGGGCAAGGCUUUUUUGGGACUCUUGAUGCAGAACAGAGACUGUUUACAUUCGAGGACGUGGCCAUCGAGUUCUCCCCGGAGGAGUGGGCCUGCCUGGACCCUGCCCAGAGGGCCUUGUACAGGGACAUGAUGCUGGAGACCUACAGGAACCUGCUCUCCCUGGGGGAGCAUCGCUUCCCUCCGGAAGUGGAGACGGUUUUAGUUCCUUUGUGUAAAUACCACGUGGUGUGACUGCUAGAUCGCAUUGGCUAGUUUUGCUGAAACAGCAGCCCCUUCCUGAGUGCCUGCCGGUCUGGCCGCAACACCCGCGGGCGUUUGCUAAAAGGAGUAACACUCCUUUAAGGAGCAGGGGCUGGUCAGGUAACAUAUGGAUCAGCGACUAUUUUCUGCUGCCAUUUCUGAAGUCAAAAUUCACCACUUUUGGGAAUCUAUUCUCCCGGACGUGCAAUCAAGGAUUUAUCACCAAGAGAGGACAUUGAUACAGGAGAAUCAUGCCGUCUAGUGAUACCGCAAAGGACUAAGUCAUGGCAUUCAGAAUUUCGAUCUCAAGGAAGACUCUGAAAAUACCCAAAAGUUUGAGAGUGAGUGGGGAUGUGAUGCAAGACAUUACAAAGAAGGGUUUCUGACCCUCAACAGAAUCUCAUAGAGAAGAUCAGGAUCAUAAAUCCUCAGUUAAUUUUCCUCGGAGUGUUUCUGUAAGAAGUCACCCAUGUGAAUCUGUCAUGCAUGACAAGCUAUUCCUGAGAAAUGUGCUAAAAAUGAGAAGUAACACAAGCACUGCUGGAAACAAAGAUAUAAAGCAUCUGGAAAGCAAGACUGGAGGAAGGCUGCAGGCAGAGGUGGCCGAACUGUAGAGAUUUCCAGCUGAGGAGAAAAUGUAUGAAUACAGUCAAGUGGAGACGUCUGUCAGUGGUUCCUCAGUGUCAUCAUUUCAAAGAAUUCUCCCUAGUGUGAAAAACACUUUGUUACCUGCACAACACAGGAGAACACACCCUAGAGACAAAGCUUACACCUGUAGUGACUGCGGGAAGGCUUUUAGCAAAAGAUGAAAGCUCACAAGUCACAAGAGAAUUCAUUCAUUCUGUAAUGAUUGUGGCAAAGCCUUUAACCAGUAUUCACACCUCACCACACACCAGCGAGUCCACACAGGAGAGAAAUCUUAUAAAUGCGAUGUGUGUGGCAAGGUCUUCAGGUGAAAUUCACACCUUGCAAAUCACCAGAGGAUGCACACCGGCGAGAAACCUUACAGUGUGAUGAAUGCGGCAGAGCUUUUAGCCAGUUUUCACACCUUAGCAGACAUCAGAAAAUGCAUGCUGGAGAGAAACCACACGAAUGCAGUGCAUGUGGCAAGCACUUCACCCAGCGUUCAAAUCUCACGGCACACCAGAGAAUUCAUACAGGAGAGAAACCUUAUCAGUGUAAUGAAUGUGGGAAGGCUUUUAUUGAACGGUCGCAACUUUGGGGUCAUGAAAGAACUCAUACUGGAGAGAAACUUUACAAAUGCGAUGAGUGUGGCAAAGCCCUCACAAGGCAUUCAUAUCUUACCCAACACAAAACCAUCCAUACUGGAGAAAAACCUUACAGAUGUCAUGAGUGUGGCAAAGCUUAUACGCAACUUGCAAGCCUCACCAGGCAUCUGAAGUACAUAUGGAAAAAAAAUCUGAGCCUCACAUACAUGGCAGCCCUUUUAUCCCAAGCUUAAUGUAUAGGGAUGAUCAGAGAUUUCCUAGUAGAAGGAAACUUGAAAGCAAUUCAGACCACAGUUGCGGGUGUGUUCAAGCCUUACUCAUCAUGUGGGAAUCUCGGUUGGCGAGAAGACAUGCAGAUGGUGAGCAGAAGCAGGGAAGAUGCUCAGCGUCACUGACCGCACAGCAAGUGCGGAGCCAAAGCUCCACGCGAUGCCACCUUGCGCCAGCUGACGACAGCCAUCGUCGGACAACAAAUAACGCGUGAGGAUGUGGAGAAAAAGGAACCCCUUGUGCUCUGGCUGGGACUCUACACUGGUGCAACGCUCAUGGGAAACAAGAUGGAAUUUUCUCAAAAAAAAAAAAAAAAACCCCAAAAAACUGGUCAGAUGAGCCACGUGUUGCUCUUCGGGGUAUUUACUGGAAAAAACCAAACACACUAAUUCAAGAAGACAGAGGCACUUGAAUGUUCACUGUAGCAUUAUUUCCAGGAGCCAAGAUGGGGAAGCAACCAUAGUGUCCCCUAACAGAUGAAUGGUGAGAGGCAACACGGUGUGGCCACUGCGCACAGUGGAGUAUUACUCAGCCCGAGGACGUCUUGCCGUUUGCAGCAACAGGGAAGGAUCUAGAGGGUGUUAUGCUAAGUGAAGUAAGUCGGAUGUGGAAAGACACGUUACACACCUCCCUUACACGUGGAAUCAAAGAAACAAAAAAGACAACAAGAGAUUCAUAGAUUCCAAGACCACACGUGCGGUUGUUGUCAGAGGCAAGGCCAGUAAAGGGAUUAAAAGACAGAAACCUCUGGUUACAGAAUACAGAAGCAAUGGGAGGUAAGAGCCAGCAUAAGGAAUGUGUUCAUAAAUGUUGAGAGUUCCCACUGUGGCACAGCGGAAAUGCAUCCGAUUAGUAUCUGUGAAGACGCAGGUUCAGAGUUCCUGUCGUGGCUCAGUGGUUAACGAACCCGACUAGCAUCCACAAGGACAUAGGUUCGAUCCCUGGCCUUGCUCAGUGGGUUAAGGAUCCGGUGUUGCUGUGAGCUAUGGUGUAGUUCACAGAUGCGGCUUGGAUCCUGCAUUGCUGUGGCUCUGGCAUAGGCUGGCAUCUACAACUCCGAUUCGACCCCUAGCCUGGGAACCCCCAUAUGCCGCAGGUGCUGGCCUAAAAAGCAAAAAAAAAAAAAAAAAAAAAAAAAGUUUAUUAAACUGUUUUUUUUUUUUUGGCAGCAUAUCCCAUGGAGCAUGGGAUAUGGAAGUUCCCAGGCUAGGGUCACAGGAACUCCAAAAAUGGAGUAACUUUGAGGACAGACAACUAACUACACACACAUUGUUGUGGUUAUCUCAUGGAGUAUGCAACGGCUACCUCAUGGAGCAGAGCUCAAACGAACCAUGUUACACAUCAAAUGUAUUUCAAUAAAGAGACUCCACUGUAGAGAGCAACCACAUAAAACUAACGUACGUGGAAAGGCCUGUAACCGGGGUUCACGCCUUUCUUGAUAUCAGAAUACACACCUUGGAGCUCCCCUUGUGGCUCAGCAGUAAUGAACCCAACUAGUAUCCCAGCAUCCAUGAAGACAGGGUUUGAUCCCUGGCCCUGCUCAGUGGGUUAAAGGAUCCCCUAUUGCCAUGAGCUGUGGUGUAGGUUGCAGAUGUGGCUCAGAUCCUGUUUUGCUGUGGCUAGACCUGCACCUCCAAUUGGACCCCUAGCCUGGGAACUUCCAUAUGCUGCGAGUGCAGUCCUAAAAAGACCAAGAAAAAAAAAAGAGAAUAUACAUCUUGGAGAGAAACCAACGUGUAUGGCAAAGCUCAUGUAAAGCUUAUGCCUUGGAGUCCCCAUCGUGGCUCAAUGGAAACCAAUCUGACUAGCAUCCAUAAAGACACAGGUUCGAUCCCUGGCCUUGCUCAGUGGGUUAUGGAACUGCCAUUGCCGUGAGCUAUGGUGUAGGCCGAUGGCUAUAGCUCAGGUUUGACCCGUGGCUUGGGAACCUCCACAUGCCUCAGGUGCAGCCCUAAAAAAAAAAAAAAAACAAAAGUUUAUGCCUCAUGGGACAGAACAGUUUCUUACUAGAGAGAAAUAAUACAAAUACGGAAUGUGAUGAGCUUUAUCAAAACCAUCUUUGAAAUUAUGGAAGAAUUCACAUCAGAUGGAAACCACAUACAUGUGUCAAGGGUCUUAAGCAGUGAUGCCAGGAUAUACCGCAUAGAAUUCAUACUGGAAACAUUGUCAGAUAUAAUGCGGGUGACAAAAUGUUCAGUGGAUACACACACAUGUGUGCGCGCGUGCGCACACACACAAUUGUUUUUCAGCCGCACCUGCAACAAAAGGAAGUUCCCAGGCCAGGGAUCAAAUCUGAGCCUUAGCUGUGACCUGUGCCACAGCUGUGGCAACACCAGAUCCUUAACCCACUGUGCUGGGCUGGGGAAUCAAACCCACGCUGCCUCAGAGACAACACCAGAUCCUUAGCCUGCUGUGCCACAGUGGGAACUCCCAGUGGAUAUUCUUAAUGGACCACACAUAAGAAAAUUCAUAUUAGUGGGAGCUAAGUCUAUUACUUUCGAAGAUUAACCAACCUCAGAUAGCAUUAGAAAGCUUGCUACUGCAACCAAGACAACCCGGAACCCCUACUGGCCGAAGACAACCAGCACUUCUCUCUUCCUCGUAUCUGUCACUCACCUCUCUCUUGGUUCUGCCAUUUGAUUCAACGAUUCAGGGUCAAACUCCAGUCUGUCUAAGACCAUCAUGAAGCAGAGAGAAGACAGCGGUAAAUGAAGCAAAGGGCCUGAAACCUCCCACGUAAAACUGAAAUACGCCAUUCAACUCGCAGCAAACGGGUCAGGAACUCAAACAGCCAAGCUAGCAUUGAAAUGUGCAAGGAACUGAGGUCCCUCCAAGGGAAGGAAGGGCUGCCCAAGUCCAGUGGCCGAGCUUGUGUUCAAAGGGCAGACAUGUGUGAUCUCGGCAGGAUGGCAAGUAGUUGGAAAUAAUAUUACAUGUUCGUACAGCUUCUAUCAGAAACAAUGUGUCCUUCCUUUUCCACACAAAAUACACUGAACCUUGCCUCAAAGGAGAGAAACCCUUCCCUCGCCAAGAAAAAAGAGGAACGCAGUGGGUUUUGGUCCCUAGCAGAUGGGAGGUUUUUGGAGCCGAUGCAGCCAGGGCCCUGAGCCGCACAGCCAGCAAUGGGGAGUGAAUGGGCUGCGGCUCCGUCUUUUUUUUUUUUUUUAUAAUUUUAUUUUAUUUUUUUAUUUUUUUUUGUCUUUUUGGGCUCCGUCUUCUUCCCGAGAACAGACAAUCCCGUGUUUUGUGUUCAUUGUUCUUCCUUGAACCCAGUCACCUCCAGCAGAGUUCCGCAACUGCCUUCCCUGACCAAUGAGCUUUCCUUCCCAUAAACAUGUACGUCCCCCAGGUGACUUUAAAUCUGUGAGGUCACCCUUCUCGUAUGGUACACACGCUCGCACAACUGCCACCAGUAAAACGCUAUGUUGAAUACAACACUUAGUGUUGUACAAACGAGUCCAUUUCCAUUAGUGACACCCACGGUUUGAGCAAGACACCUCUAACCUUUUAGACUGAUGUUAUGUCAGAGCCUUCCAGGUUCUCAGGCCUUCUGAGUGGAGCCACACUUGGAGUUUCUGUUUGUUUCGUGCAAAAGGAGUAACUUCGCAGAAGCCAACUUAAUCAACUAACAGGUUACUUCCAAAGGCAUGAGGACCAAAGCCAUGAUUUUAGAUUUAACUUGCCCAUGACCCUCAAAAUACUUUGUAAUUAUUUUUUUAACCAAGUUUUACCGAUGGGACAUGAGGCAGUUAUACCCUUUAGUCCUACAUAUUCAUGAUGAGGUAAGACCUUGAUUAUAAUAUGGUAUCAAAUGCAGUUGAAAGCAAAAUGCCACAUACCUUUUGCUUUUUCCUCUCUCCAUUGGUGGAAGGGACAUGCAGGGGUGAUCACCCGCUCCUCGGACACCUCUGCAAAUGUUUGGAGAUGUGUUUUAUUUCACAGUUGGGGUGGUGCUGCUGAUGCGGGUCGAGCCCAGUGUGCUGGUAAAUGUUCUACGAUGCACGGUGUAGCUUCACACAGCAAAGAAAUAUCUGACCCAUGAGGUCAGUGAAGAAAGAAGUUAUGUCACAUAAACAAUCAAAGGAAAGCAGAAGUGCCAAUAUUACUAUCACAUAAAAUAGAUUUCUAAGAGAAUAAAACUACCAAGGAUAAAGAGCAAACAACGUAAUGAUAAACGGGUCGAUCUACCAUGAUGACUAAGCAAUCCUAAGCAUAUGAGCAACACAGAAGAGCUGCAAAACAUGUGAAGGAACAGUUGACAGAACUGGAAGGGAAAAGACAACUCCACAAUCACAGUUUGAGGCUUUAGUCCAUCUCUUUCAAUAACUGAAAGAAUCAACAAUGACCCAGAAAAUCAGGACAUGGAUGAAUUUAAUAACAUCAGAUCAUGGGAUCUACUCAACGUUAGAGCAGCACUCGAAAACAGCGUUACUUAUGUUCAGAGAUAUUUCUCAAGAUAGCUCUCUUCUGGGCCAUAAAAUACUCAGCAAAUUUAGUAACAUGUAAAUGAUACCGAGUGUGUUCAAUGCCUACCAUGGAAUUCAGCUGCACAUCAAAAAGAUUGCUGGAAAGUCUCCCAACACUGGAACCUAAACCACUUACCUUUUAAAAAUCCAUGUGUCAAAAGGGAAGACUCCAGGGAAAUACACAAGCUGAAGCAAAAUAAAACUACAGUAUGUCACAAUGUUAACUAAAUUUAUACCACGAGGGAUCUUUAGAGCCUGACAUAUGCAUUGAAGAAGAGGAAUUAUAUCCAAGAGUAAGGUGCAGUUAAGAAGCCAGGAAAAACAAAACCAAACCAAAAUGAACACAAAUGAAGUGAAAGGGGAAAAAAAAGACAAAAAUAAAAAUUAAAGGAGUUAAUUAAAGGAGCUUAAGGCAUAGUUAGCUUAAGAGAAAAGAGAAGGGAGUUCCCGUCGUGGCGCAGUGGUUAACGAACCCGACUAGGAACCAUGAGGUUUCGGGUUCGGUCCCUGCCCUUGCUCAGUGGGUUGACAAUCCGGCGUUGCCGUGAGCUGUGGUGUAGGUUGCAGACGCGGCUCGGAUCCCGCGUUGCUGUGGCUCUGGUGUAGGCUGGUGGCUACAGCUCCGAUCAGACCCCUAGCCUGAGAACCUCCAUAUGCCGUGGGAGCGGCCCAAAGAAAUAGCAAAAAGACAAAAAAAAAAAAAAAAAAAAAAAAAAA